rnacentral:rRNA from 1 species
ACGUUGUUCGGAAUUACUGGGCGUAAAGCGCGUGUAGGCGGCUGCGUAGGUCGGAUGUGAAAUCCCACGGCUCAACCGUGGACGUGCAUUCGAAACCGCACAGCUUGAGUCCCGGAGAGGGUGGUGGAAUUCUCGGCGUAGAGGUGAAAUUCGUAGAUAUCGGGAGGAACACCGGCGGCGAAAGCGGCCACCUGGACGGAGACUGACGCUGAGACGCGAAAGCGUG